GACGAACGCUGGCGGCGUGCUUAACACAUGCAAGUCGAACGGAAAGGCCCUGCUUUUGUGGGGUGCUCGAGUGGCGAGCGGGUGAGUAACACGUGAGUAACCUGCCCUUGACUUUGGGAUAACUUCAGGAAACUGGGGCUAAUACCGGAUAGGAGCUCCUGCUGCAUGGUGGGGGUUGGAAAGUUUCGGCGGUUGGGGAUGGACUCGCGGCUUAUCAGCUUGUUGGUGGGGUAGUGGCUUACCAAGGCUUUGACGGGUAGCCGGCCUGAGAGGGUGACCGGCGACAUUGGGACUGAGGGACGGGCCAGACUGCUACGGGAGGCAGCAGUGGGGAAUAUUGCACAAUGGGCGGAAGCCUGAUGCAGCAACGCCGCGUGCGGGAUGACGGCCUUCGGGUUGAAAACCGCUUUCGCCUGUGACGAAGCGUGAGUGACGGUAAUGGGUAAAGAAGCACCGGCUAACUACGUG
rnacentral:rRNA from 1 species